ACAAUGGUAGUUUGGUGGUAGAAUUCUUGCCUUCCACGCAGGAGACCUGGGUUUGAUUCCUGCUCGAUGCA
rnacentral:tRNA from 1 species